AGAGUCUUUAUUAGACAGAGAACAAAAUGAAUUGAAGUCCGGUAGGUGGAAAUAUCUUCACCUGGACUAUAUACAACUUACACACGAACGGAUCGGAUUGGGUGAUCUGGCCCAAAAUUAAAUAACAUGUGGGCUCAGACACACAAUAAUCAUCAUAGCCCAUUUACAAGAUAUAUCAUGGAUAUACCGAAACUAUACAAUGAGUAUACAAGAAUAUACAAGGCUAUACAAGACUAUAUCAUGUAUUUUCUCUUAUCUCAGCACCCUCCCUCAAGUUGAAGGGGGAUACCACCUGCAACUUGAGCAACAAGGGAUGAAGUAUAGUGCCAGGCAAAGGCUUGGUCAGAAGGUCAGCGAGCUGGCGAGUAGUAGGGACAUGAAACAGUUGAAUAAGGUCAUUCUGGAGCAGAUCGCGCACAAAAUGACAAUCCACUUCAAUGUGUUUAGUCCAUUCAUGAAAAACAGAAUUCUUGGCAAUGUGAAUGGCAGCCUGGCUGUCACAAUACACAGAAAAAGGAAGAGAGACAGAAACACCAAGAUCAAGAAAUAAACGAGACAACCAAGACAGUUCAGCAACAACCUUACUUAGGGCCCUGUAUUCAGCCUCAGCAGAAGACAAAGAGACCACUGGUGGCUUCUUCGAUUUCCAACUAAUCAAGGAGCCACCCAGAAUAAUACAGAACCCAGUAACAGACCUCCGUGUAUCAGGGCAGGCAGCUCAGUCACUAUCAGAAUAACCAACAACAUUGAAAUCAUUGCAAUCAGAAUAAAAGAGGCCCAGAGAAGAAGUCCCCUUAAGAUAUCUCAGGACAUGAAGAGCAGCAGUCAUAUGGGGAAGUCUGGGGCAUUUGAGGAAUUGACUAAGAUGUUGCACAACAAAACAGAUGUCAGGCCUAGUAUGGGUCAGAAAUAAGAGCUUACCAACAAGACUCCUAAACUGAUCAGGAGAAGGUAAAAGGUCACCAGAAUCAGCAUGUAACUUUGCAUUAAUGUCUAAAGGACAGACAACAGAAGAGACAUUGAUACAGUCAAACUGUUGCAGCAAAUCACAAAUAUAUUUGUGCUGAUUAAGGAUCAUCCCACCAGGAACAGAUGACACACAUUGAUACAGUCAAACUGUUGCAGCAAAUCACAAAUAUAUUUGUGCUGAUUAAAGAUCAUCCCACCACGAGCAGAUGACAUCUGUAUGCCUAAAAAGUAAUGUAAAGAUCCUAGGUCCUUAAUUUUAAACUGAUCAUCCAGAAAUAGUUUCAGAGCAGCAAUUUCAUCACAGUCAUCCCCAGUAAGGAUAAUAUCAUCCACAUAAACAACUACAAUCACAAGGGACCCAGGUGUACCUUUGAUGAAUAGGGAAUAAUCAUUCAAAGAGUGUCUAUAGCCUCUAGAGGAUAGGGCAGAAGACAAUUUGGCAUACCAUUGUCUGGAAGCCUGUCUGAGCCCAUAUAGGGAUUUGUUUAAUUUGCAAACA
rnacentral:lncRNA from 1 species